rnacentral:misc_RNA from 1 species
ACAAACUUGGUCAUUUAGAGGAAGUAAAAGUCGUAACAAGGUUUCCGUAGGUGAACCUGCGGAAGGAUCAUUAUCGAAUAAACUAGGUGGGUUGUUGCUGUCCCUCUCGGGGGAAUUGUGCACGCCUUACCUUUUUUGUUUUUCCACCUGUGCACACACUGUAGGUCUGGAGGGAAAGGGAGGCAACUCCCUAACGUUUCAGGUCCUAUGUUUUUUACACAUACACUAUGAAAAGUAACAGAACGACUCAAUGGGCUUUGAGCCUAUAAACUAAAUACAACUUUCAGCAACGGAUCUCUUGGCUCUCGCAUCGAUGAAGAACGCAGC